rnacentral:rRNA from 1 species
UACGGAGGGUGCAAGCGUUGUCCGGAUUUAUUGGGUUUAAAGGGUGCGUAGGCGGUUCUUUAAGUCCGGGGUGAAAGCCCACUGCUCAACAGUGGAACUGCCCUGGAAACUGGAGGACUUGAGUACAGACGAGGGUGGCGGAAUGGAUACUGUAGCGGUGAAAUGCAUAGAUAGUAUCCAGAACACCGAUUGCGAAGGCAGCUGCCUAGACUGUAACUGACGCUGAGGCACGAAAGCGUGGGGAGCGAACAGG